UACGGAGGAUGCAAGCGUUAUCCGGAAUGAUUGGGCGUAAAGGGUCCGCAGGCGGCAGUGUAAGUCUGCUGUCAAAGAAUGAGGCUUAACCUUAUCAAGGCAGUGGAAACUACACAGCUAGAGUACGGUCGGGGUAGAAGGAAUUCCUGGUGUAGCGGUGAAAUGCGUAGAGAUCAGGAAGAACACCGGUGGCGAAAGCGUUCUGCUAGACCUGUACUGACACUGAGGGACGAAAGCUAGGGGAGCGAAUGGG
rnacentral:rRNA from 1 species